rnacentral:sRNA from 1 species
GCUGGUGAUACCUCCUCACCCAGAACCUGGAAUUAAGGGAGGCGGGUUCUGCUCCUCUAGAGCCCAAACCCGAGGAAGGAAAUGGAAGGGUGGGAUGGUGUCAGACGGAAGGGAAAGCAGAGAAGAGGAAGACCAAAGCCAGCAAGGGGGAAGGGGAGGCUCAAUGGUCUACGCCCUGACUGUGCGGCAGAUGCAUGAGGCCCCAAGACUCUGCCUGGCAAGUGCAGACUGAUUGCAUAGGAUCAAAUACCGUGCAAGGUUAGUACACCGUGUCCUAGGUAGAGAGGAGGAUUUUAAUACAGAAUAAAGGCCGCCCUCUUUCCUGCCCUCCUCCCACAGAGGGGGGGGAGGGGGGUGACUGGCCCUGGCAGGUCGCCUGUCCCCGCCCCGCGCCCUCCCCAGAGCCUCCUGCCCGCUGAGGUCGCCGCCCAGCAAAGCCUGGGCACUCCUCCCUUGCUUGCCGCAGGUCUCGGCCCAUCACCCGAGCCUGGUCCCACCCGCCAAACCACAUACUUUCACCUCCGUCUCACCCUUCCCUCCACCCUUCCCGUCUUCCUGGCCCAGUCCUCGCCACUCAGAUGAUUUUUAAGUCUGCCGCUUCCUUUCAAUGGCUAGAGAAAGGAUGGAAGGCUUGUGUUUGGCAGUGUUUAAAUUACUCCAGAAAACACCCAGUGGCAAAGACAAUAAAAGGGUACAGUUUCUUCGGCUGCUUCCGCAGGGCAGGGGGAGGGGUGGCCCGCUAACCUCCACCCACCUGCCGCCCGCCCGCCAGCUGUCUUCUGGGUGGACAGCACGGGGUCUCACCCCUGUCCCCUCCCCCCACCUCCUCUUUGGCAGGCUGGCAGCCUAGGCCAGCUGGAUGGCUUGUCUCUACUCUGAGCUAGAAGGCUUCUGAAGUUAGCUGAGGCUCACAACUCUCAUGCGCCUGCUGGGCGAUCAAGACUUUUUACAAGGAGGGUGGCGCUAUUGCCUCCUAUCCGUGUCCAUCAGAAACCCC